CUAAGGUUCGAUUCGAGCGCAGCGAGAAAGCGUUGCCGCAGGCAACGACCCGAAGGGCGAAGCGCGCAGCGCUGAGU
rnacentral:sRNA from 1 species